UACGUAGGGCGCAAGCGUUGUCCGGAAUUAUUGGGCGUAAAGAGCUCGUAGGCGGUCUGUUACGUCCGCUGUGAAAACCCAGGGCUUAACCCUGGGCUUGCAGUGGAUACGGGCAGACUAGAGGCAGGUAGGGGAGAAUGGAAUUCCCGGUGUAGCGGUGAAAUGCGCAGAUAUCGGGAGGAACACCGGUGGCGAAGGCGGUUCUCUGGGCCUGACCUGACGCUGAGGAGCGAAAGCGUGGGGAGCGAAC
rnacentral:rRNA from 1 species